GGAGGCAGGGUGCUGGCUGGCUGGGAGGUUGUCCACUAGUGAAGAAAGACCUGUGAUCUCUGGGGAUGACACAAGAGUUGAGCACAUGCAAAACGGCAAAAACACAAGUAAGCACAAUAAUGCUCGAGGCACGAAAAAACUCUGACAAGGAAGAAAUCACUGCAAACGCAACACUGGAAAAGAGUAUGCUUGGCAUCACCGACACGGACGGAAUUAUCUGACAUAGUAUUGGAGUGAGGACCAGGUAUAUGCAUGCAAGUUGAUGAGCUGAGUGGAAUCAGGUGUGCCUCAUCAGCUGCAGUGGGAAGAGCCAGUCACACCCCCUGCCACACUCAAGCCUGGCAGGAACAGAAACAGAAAGGGCAGGGGGAAGGGAGAACACACAAAAAUCCACCCAAAAACCAAAACCAAAACAGACUUUCAACAAAGGGUGGGUGUUUAAUGCUCUCUCAUACCUUAACGACAAAAUAGGUUGAUUUCCACUGACUUCCAAAAUGACAUAUUACUGUUCUAUUGGUCACAGUAUGCAGUUGCAUCUAUACUGUAAAACUUGAUGGUUAGGUUUAGGCAACAAAACUAGGUGGGUAGGGUUAGAAAAAACAUCAUGUUUUUGUCACAGUGGGCACUUUUUUACCUGCCAUACUGCCAGUCUCUCAAUUAACCUGGUCAAUUUCUACUAACUCCGCCUCUCCACCACACCUACCUGUCCACACAUCUCCCACUCCUGCCAAUCCACCACACCCACCUCAUCAAGCCAACUGCUCUCACCUGUGGAUCAUCACCUCCUGCCAGUAUAAAGACUCCUGCUUCACAGAAUCUCCUCGCCAGAUUGUUCUUUGUCAUUUAUGCAAGACUUUCUAGCAUUUGAUUCCGAACUGCUUCCUUGUUAUUGACCCUGCCCGUUCCUGACUCUUCUGCUUCGUCUGCUCCCCGGUAAACCACUCUGCCUUCUGUUUUCAACCACGAGCUCUGCCUCUGCCUUCCUGGUUCCUGUUCACCUGUUUGAUGCGGCUGCCUGGAAAGACCGUCACCCCACUCUCCAAAAUUCCAUGUUUUAUCGCUGCUGUCAAGCUCUCCCCUGUCCAUGGCCGGCUUUGCAUUAGAGAGACUGUUUCCUCCCGGAUGCCGGCUCCUCACCUGUGUGCUGCCUCAGCGUUCCACGUGGAGAGCUGUGGACUGAUUCUAUUCCCCUGAGGGCUCUGAACCUGAACAUCGACACUCUCUUGCUUUACCAGUCUGCACUCCCUAUAUUUAUUGAAGUGGUGAAGUAAAGCUCAGUAUAAACUGUUCCAUCUGUUCCUGGUGUGCAUUGGAGUUCAAACCCAAUAACGUAACAUGACAUAUGUCAUACAGUAUGUUGUUUUCAGAUACUAUGCUUUAAUGUUAUUAAAAGAAAUCAACGUUGACUUUGGGACACAAACACCAGUAUCUUGGAUGAAAGUCCUGUGCUUGAUUGAUCCAUCCACCACCCAUCUUGCGCACCCUAUAGGGACUCUUUGAUCUUUAUACAACAUUAUGCAGACCAGGUUCCAUUAAGUGCACUGGACUUUGACGUCAAUAUGACAUAAUGACCAAACUGUGACUACAGCUUUCAGGUCCAUCACAUGAUGCCACUGAGCCCAAAAGAAUUUUACCCAUAGACUGGCAUUGUUAAAGAGCCAAAUGAAAAUCAGUGGAUACAUUUUUUUUUUUUGGGGGGUAUCACAGCCCCCAUGAAAUGACUCAGGAUUUGAUUCAGCAUUUAUAGGAAUGAACAGAGCCCCGCUUCCAAUGCUGUAUCCAGUCCUCGUUAUACACACACGACGCAGACUUAAUUGCUUUUCAUGCUCUGCUACAGGGCGCCGCCUUACAAAAAACAUGAGUUUGGAUCGUAUAAAGCUGCUUGCUAAGUAAACAUAUGUGGCCCUUUUUCGGUGAGG